AUUGAACGCUGGCGGCAGGCCUAACACAUGCAAGUCGAACGGUAACAGGAAACAGCUUGCUGUUUCGCUGACGAGUGGCGGACGGGUGAGUAAUGUCUGGGAAACUGCCUGAUGGAGGGGGAUAACUACUGGAAACGGUAGCUAAUACCGCAUAACGUCGCAAGACCAAAGAGGGGGACCUUCGGGCCUCUUGCCAUCGGAUGUGCCCAGAUGGGAUUAGCUAGUAGGUGGGGUAACGGCUCACCUAGGCGACGAUCCCUAGCUGGUCUGAGAGGAUGACCAGCCACACUGGAACUGAGACACGGUCCAGACUCCUACGGGAGGCAGCAGUGGGGAAUAUUGCACAAUGGGCGCAAGCCUGAUGCAGCCAUGCCGCGUGUAUGAAGAAGGCCUACGGGUCGUGAACUUCUUUUCCCGGAGAAGAAGCAAUGACGGUAUCUGGGGAAUAAGCAUCGGCUAACUCUGUGCCAGCAGCCGCCGUA
rnacentral:rRNA from 1 species